rnacentral:rRNA from 1 species
CGCGUAGGCGGAGGGUGUAGUCGGUGGUGAAAUCCUCCAGCUCAACUGGAGAAUGGCCUCCGAUACUGACUCUCUCGAGGGAGGUAGGGGCAUGUGGAACUCAGGGUGGAGCGGUGAAAUGCGUAGAUAUCCUGAGGAACGCCGGUGGCGAAAGCGACGUGCUGGACCUCUUCUGACGCUGAGGCGCGAAAGCCAGGGGAGCAAACG